rnacentral:rRNA from 1 species
AGAGUUUGAUCAUGGCUCAGAGCGAACGCUGGCGGCAUGCUUAACACAUGCAAGUCGCACGGUCAGCAAUGGCAGUGGCGGACGGGUGAGUAACACGUAGGAAUCUAUCCUUGAAUGGGGGACAACCGUGGGAAACUACGGCUAAUACCGCAUGAUGCCUGAGGGCCAAAGACGUAAGUCGUUUGAGGAGGAGCCUGCGUCUGAUUAGCUAGUUGGUGGGGUAAAGGCCUACCAAGGCGACGAUCAGUAGCUGGUCUGAGAGGAUGAUCAGCCACAUUGGGACUGAGACACGGCCCAAACUCCUACGGGAGGCAGCAGUGGGGAAUAUUGGACAAUGGGCGAAAGCCUGAUCCAGCAAUGCCGCGUGUGUGAAGAAGGUCUUCGGAUUGUAAAGCACUUUUGGCAGGGACGAUGAUGACGGUACCUGCAGAAUAAGCCCCGGCUAACUUCGUGCCAGCAGCCGCGGUAAUACGAAGGGGGCUAGCGUUGCUCGGAAUGACUGGGCGUAAAGGGCGCGUAGGCGGUUUAUACAGUCAGAUGUGAAAUUCCUGGGCUUAACCUGGGGACUGCAUUUGAUACGUAUGGACUUGAGUGGAGAAGAGGGUCGUGGAAUUUCCAGUGUAGAGGUGAAAUUCGUAGAUAUUGGAAAGAACACCGGUGGCGAAGGCGGCGACCUGGUCUUUAACUGACGCUGAGGCGCGAAAGCGUGGGGAGCAAACAGGAUUAGAUACCCCGGUAGUCC